rnacentral:rRNA from 1 species
CAUUUAAAGUAAGACCUGCUCAAUGAUAAUAAAUAGCCGCAGAAUAUCUGUGCUAAGGUAGCAUAAUAACUUGCUUCUUAAUUAGAAGAUAGAAUGAAAGGUCAAACACUUAAAAUAUGUUUCUCUCAAACUAAAUUAAUUUAAAAAUAAAGUCAAAAUUCUUUUAAAAAAAGCGGGACGACAAGACCCUGAUAAACUUAACAUUUAGUUGGGGAAACACAUUAAAAACACUUUAACAAUAUAAAACACACAACUUUCAAAAAAAUUAAGCUUAGUUACUACAGGGAUAACAGCGUUAUUUCUUUCAAGAGACCUUAUCUAAAAAGAAGAUUACGACCUCGAUGUUGAAUUAAUUAACCUAUAAAACGCAACAGUUUAUAAUAAGGUAGUCCGUUCGACUAUUAAAAAAUUACAUGAUUUGAGUUCAGAUCGGUGCAAGCCAGAUCGGUUUCUAUCUGCUAAACUAUAAACUAUUAGUACGAAAGGACCCUAGCUUAUGAUACAAU